rnacentral:rRNA from 1 species
AUUGAACGCUGGCGGCAUGCCUUACACAUGCAAGUCGAACGGCAGCACGGGUGCUUGCCCCUGGUGGCGAGUGGCGAACGGGUGAGUAAUACAUCGGAACAUGUCCUGUAGUGGGGGAUAGCCCGGCGAAAGCCGGAUUAAUACCGCAUACGAUCUACGGAUGAAAGCGGGGGACCUUCGGGCCUCGCGCUAUAGGGUUGGCCGAUGGCUGAUUAGCUAGUUGGUGGGGUAAAGGCCUACCAAGGCGACGAUCAGUAGCUGGUCUGAGAGGACGACCAGCCACACUGGGACUGAGACACGGCCCAGACUCCUACGGGAGGCAGCAGUGGGGAAUUUUGGACAAUGGGCGAAAGCCUGAUCCAGCAAUGCCGCGUGUGUGAAGAAGGCCUUCGGGUUGUAAAGCACUUUUGUCUGGAAAGAAAUCCUUGGCCCUAAUACGGUCGGGGGAUGACGGUACCGGAAGAAUAAGCACCGGCUAACUACGUG